AUUUUAAAGAAGGGACAUACGAUAAAAUUGGAACGAUGCAGAGAAGAUUAGCAUGACCUCUGAGCAAGGAUGACACACAAGUCGAUAAAUAAUCCAAAUAAAA
rnacentral:snRNA from 1 species